UACGUAGGUGGCAAGCGUUGUCCGGAAUUAUUGGGCGUAAAGGGCUCGUAGGCGGCUGUCCACGUCGGAUGUGAAAGCUCGGGGCUCAACCCUGAGAGGCCAUUCGAUACGGGACGGCUAGAGGUAGGUAGGGGAGAUUGGAAUUCCUGGUGUAGCGGUGAAAUGCGUAGAUAUCGGAAGGAACAUCAGUGGCGAAAGCGACUUCCUGGACCAGUACCGACGUUCAGGCACGAAAGCGUGGGGAGCAAACAGG
rnacentral:rRNA from 1 species